rnacentral:misc_RNA from 1 species
GAUGAAGAACGUAGCGAAAUGCGAUAAGUAAUGUGAAUUGCAGAAUUCAGUGAAUCAUCGAGUUUUUGAACGCAUAUUGCGCCCUCUGGUAUUCCGGGGGGCAUGCCUGUUCGAGCGUCAUUAAAUAACCCUCAAGCAUAGCUUGGUGUUGGGCUUUUUUACGUCCUUGACUGGGAUGGGCCUAAAAAUUAGUGGCGAUGGCUUUUUUACUUUCAAGCGUAGUAAAUCUCGUCUUGCUAAAGAGGAAAAAGAUUUUUUUUCUGCCAAAAUUUUAACAUUUAAAGUUGACCUCGGAUCAGGUAGGAUUACCCGCUGAACUUAAGCAUAUCAAAAGCGGAGGA